UACAGUAGAUUGAAUAGGGAGAGGGAUUGGAAACGGAAGUAGCGUCACAUGACAUUUUACAUUGAAUUUGCAGCAUGGCACCGAUAGCCUCGAUCCCAGGCCGAGUUUUCGCUUUUAUAACGAUUAGGCGAACAACUGGGCCUGGUACUAGUUGUCUGCGCAUGCGUCAGUCGUUCGUCAGAUUCUGGAUAUUCUCGUUCACUUUUGUGACAUUUAUAUUCGUGUACUAUCGUGUACUAGAAAUCAGUUCCCGUUUUAUCAUUAUUGGAAUCGAUUGGAAUCGAUUGGAAUGGCUCUUAGCUGAAGCUUCUCUCUUCUCUGAAGCUUAUUCUGAAGACUGAACAACAAGGGAAGAGGUAUAAAGCUUUGUCAAGCUUGUUAAGGUCAGAUAUUUUUGUGUGGGCCCUAUGGCCGGCUAUGCUAUCAAGUCUUGUUCAUGUUUGGCAAGAAUGUAGGUAGACUAUAGUUUCAUCAUUAAUAUGGUGGAUCAAGUGAAGAGUGUGAGCUAGAGAACUUGGUGCUGCCAUCAUCAGCUCGUCGACAAUGACACUAUAACCGAGAAAUUUCUACACGUAUUUAAAAUGUCUACUUCUCUGUACAGGAGCAAUGGCUAAUAUCCAGCUGUCCCAACAGUGCUCCUCUUGGCUAUACUAACGGACGAGACUGGACAGUUUGGGACACAGGACUGGAGUAUGACCUGCUCAUUCGAGCGUUGCUGGGUAGCUCAGAGACAUCAAGAGAAUCUACGUUUUCUGAAGCAAUGAGUUACGAGUUGGGGCCUAGAAUCAGAGAAGUCCAGCAGCCUGCUAAAUCUUUUUGAAACGUAAUUUGAAGGCAUUCAAUCAUCCUGAAGUUGCCCUGGGUCACUGUAAUUGUGCUGCAGCACAACUGGCAACUCCCCAGGCCUUUGUGAAGCAGCUCCCUAUGUGCAUCUUUUGUGUACUCACUCUGUGCAUUUUCUGUGUACAAAUUUCGAUUAUUGAUUUAUUAAA